rnacentral:rRNA from 1 species
CGGCGAGUGAAGCGGCAACAGCUCAAAUUUGAAAUCUGGCCCUUGGGUCCGAAUUGUAAUUUGUAGAGGAUGAUUUUGGUGCGGUAUCUUCCGAGUUCCUUGGAACAGGACGCCUUAGAGGGUGAGAGCCCCGUACGGUUGAAUGCCUAGCCUCUGUAAAUCUCCUUCGACGAGUCGAGUAGUUUGGGAAUGCUGCUCUAAAUGGGAGGUAAAUUUCUUCUAAAGCUAAAUACUGGCCAGAGACCGAUAGCGCACAAGUAGAGUGAUCGAAAGAUGAAAAGCACUUUGAAAAGAGGGUUAAAUAGCACGUGAAAUUGUUGAAAGGGAAGGAUUUAUGACCAGACUUUUUCUGGGCGGAUCAUCCGGUGUUCUCACCGGUGCACUUUGCCCAGUUUAGGCCAGCAUCGAUUUUCGGAGAGGGAUAAAAGCUUUAGGAAUGUGGCUCCCCCGGGAGUGUUAUAGCCUAUUGUAUAAUACCUUUCUGGGGAUCGAGGUACGCGCUUCUGCAAGGAUGCUGGCGUAAUGGUUAUCAAUCACCCGUCUUGAAACACGGACCAAGGAGUCGAACAUUUGUGCGAGUGUUUGGGUGUUAAACCCUCACGCGUAAUGAAAGUGAACGGAGGUGAGAGCCCUUACGGGUGCAUCAUCGACCGAUCCUGAAGUUUUCGGAUGGAUUUGAGUAAGAGCAUAACUGUUCGGACCCGAAAGAUGGUGAACUAUGCGUGGAUAGGGUGAAGCCAGAGGAAACUCUGG